rnacentral:lncRNA from 1 species
AGGUGAUUAGGCGGGACAUGGAACAGUUACAGCUCACCGAGGACAUGACCCUAGAUAGGAAGGUCUGGAAGACGCGAAUUACGGCAGAGGUUUUUUAUUCCCGUUUUGAUUCCGUAUUCAGUGUUCCAUGAUUAUUACGAAUCUGUGUGCUUUCCUCUGCUUUCCUCUGUUUUAUAUUCCUUAUGGGUGCCGUAUUUAUGUUAUGUCAUCUGCUUCUGUACUUUACUAUGUGUUUGUGUGAUAUCUUGUGCCUUGAGCCGGGGGUCUUUCGGAAACAGCCUUUCUACUUCAUCAGAGGUAGAGGUAUGGACUGCGUACAUCUUACCCCCCCCAGACCCCACUAAGUGGGAAUACACUGGGUUUGUUGUUGUUGUUGU